UAUUCAAAUACACCUACAAUCACGUUGGCCAAAAUUUCAAUUUUUAUGUCAUAAUUUUUCAGGAAUUUUAAAAAGCGACUGUAAAUUAAAAUGUGUGUUAAAAUUUGUUUGGUACCCAAAAAGUUUCUUUGUGUCUUCUCUCUGAAGUGCGGAGCUUAUGCGGUCGGAAUUUGGAUGUCUUGUUUCAUGUUCAUGGUGGCCAUAACAGUGCUCGUCGAAAGUAUAGCACAUUGUUUUCUUAGGGACUGGAGAUGGAUCUGUCCUCGAUCCUUGUUUUUGUCUGCUGUGGUGACUGUCAUCGAUUGCAUAUAUCUAAUGUUGGUUAACUUGUGCCUGAUAUGGGGAAUUUACAAAGAUAAAGUGAGAAUACUGCUGUGCUGGUUGGCGUUGACCACCUUCGGACUCGUACACGUUUUCGUCAUCAUGGUGACAGCCCCGAGCAUAUUCUACUACGUGUUUAGAGAACCUAAUCAUUUUAUCUGGAUUGUAUGCCUGAUCAUAGCUGUGGUUGCUAUCGUUAUGGGGAUCUACUCGUUGCUUGUUGUCUACGCCUACUAUUUGGAGUUGAAACAGCUCAAGACUGAGGGGACGAACGAAACUCGCUGAGCAAUGAAAGUAAUACAAAUAACCUACUAAAUAAUGUUAUUCUAAAUAUAUUUGUUAAUUUUA